CUCCGGUUGAUCCUGCCGGACCUGACUGCUAUCGGAUUGGUACUAAGCCAUGCGAGUCAUUGUAGCAAUACAAGGCGGACGGCUCAGUAACACGUAGUCAACCUAACUCGUGGACGUGGAUAACCUCGGGAAACUGAGAAUAAACCACGAUAGAUCAUAGUGCCUGGAAUGGCUUAUGGUCCAAACAGUUUACUGCCAUGGGAUGGGACUGCGGCCUAUCAGCUUGUUGGUGAGGUAAUGGCCCACCAAGGCGAUUACAGGUACGGGCUCUGAGAGGAGAAGCCCGGAGAUGGGUACUGAGACACGGACCCAGGCCCUAUGGGGCGCAGCAGGCGAGAAACCUUAGCAAUGUGCGAAAGCACGACUGGGUCAGUCCGAGUGAUUCCUGAUAAAGGAGUCUUUUGCUUGUCCUAAAAGCACAGGUGAAUAAGGGGUGGGCAAGUCUGGUGUCAGCCGCCGCGGUAAUACCAGCACCUCGAGUGGUCAGGACGUUUAUUGGGCCUAAAGCAUCCGUAGCCGGCUCUGCAAGUCUUCGGUUAAAUCCACCUGCUCAACAGAUGGGCUGCUGGAGAUACUACAGAGCUAGGGAGUGGGAGAGGCAGACGGUAUUCAGUGGGUAGGGGUAAAAUCCUCUGAUCCAUUGAGGACCACCAGUGGCGAAGGCGGUCUGCCAGAACACGUUCGACGGUGAGGGAUGAAAGCUGGGGGAGCAAACCGGAUUAGAUACCCGGGUAGUCCCAGCUGUAAACGAUGCAAACUCGGUGAUGCAUUGGCUUAUGGCCAAUGCAGUGCCGCAGGGAAGCCGUUAAGUUUGCCGCCUGGGAAGUACGGACGCAAGUCUGAAACUUAAAGGAAUUNGGGCGGGGAGCA
rnacentral:rRNA from 1 species